GAUGAAGAACGUAGCGAAAUGCGAUACGUAGUGUGAAUUGCAGAAUUCAGUGAAUCAUCGAAUCUUUGAACGCACAUUGCGCCCUUUGGUAUUCCUUAGGGCAUGCCUGUUCGAGCGUCAUUUAAACCUUCAAGCUAAGCUUGGUGUUGGGUGACUGUCCGCUUCACGGCGGACUCGCCUCAAAAUUAUUGGCGGCCGGUACAUUGGCUUCGAGCGCAGCAGAAACGCGAACUCGGGCCCGUCGUAUUGGCUCCCAGAAGCUAUCUUCACAAUUUUGACCUCGGAUCAGGUAGGGAUACCCGCUGAACUUAAGCAUAUCAAUAAGCGGAGGA
rnacentral:misc_RNA from 1 species